rnacentral:rRNA from 1 species
UGGGGAAUCUUGGACAAUGGGCGCAAGCCUGAUCCAGCCAUGCCGCGUGGGUGAAGAAGGCCUUAGGGUUGUAAAGCCCUUUCAGUCGUGACGAUGAUGACGGUAGCGACAGAAGAAGCCCCGGCUAACUCCGUGCCAGCAGCCGCGGUAAUACGGAGGGGGUUAGCGUUGUUCGGAAUUACUGGGCGUAAAGCGCGCGUAGGCGGAUCAGAAAGUUGGGGGUGAAAUCCCGGGGCUCAACCCCGGAACUGCCUUCAAAACUCCUGGUCUAGAGUUCGAGAGAGGUGAGUGGAAUUCCGAGUGUAGAGGUGAAAUUCGUAGAUAUUCGGAGGAACACCAGUGGCGAAGGCGGCUCACUGGCUCGAUACUGACGCUGAGGUGCGAAAGUGUGGGGAGCAAACAGGAUUAGAUACCCGCGUAGUCC